rnacentral:rRNA from 1 species
AAAAGAAACCAACAGGGAUUGCCUCAGUAACGGCGAGUGAAGCGGCAAAAGCUCAAAUUUGAAAUCUGGUACCUUUGGUGCCCGAGUUGUAAUUUGAAGAUAGUUUUCUGGUGCUGGCCCUUGUCUAUGUUCCUUGGAACAGGACGUCACAGAGGGUGAGAAUCCCGUCUGGCGGGGUGUCCAGUGCUUUGUAGAUUUCUAUCGACGAGUCGAGUUGUUUGGGAAUGCAGCUCUAAGUGGGUGGUAAAUUCCAUCUAAAGCUAAAUAUUGGCGAGAGACCGAUAGCGAACAAGUACAGUGAUGGAAAGAUGAAAAGAACUUUGAAAAGAGAGUGAAAAAGUACGUGAAAUUGUUGAAAGGGAAGGGUAUUAGAUCAGACUUGGUGUUUUGUGAUUAUCUUCCCUUCUUGGGUUGUGCACUCGCAUUUCACUGGGCCAGCAUCGGUUCGGGUGGUAAGAUAAUGACAUUGGAACGUGGCACUGCCUUCGGGUGGUGUGUUAUAGCCCUUGUUGAUGUUGCCUACCUGGACCGAGGACUGCGGCUUUUGCCUAGGAUGCUGGCGUAAUGAUCUAACCCGCCC